CCUUUUGUAUCUAAUAUCUAUUUAUUUUUUUAUUUUUAAAAAAUUCGUUGGGCCCACUUAGCCCACUUAGCCUAUUUAGCCCGCGGGCCGGGACCGUUUAGCCCGUUUAAUUUGGGACCGAUCCGGGACCGGGACCGUUUGGACCGGCCCACUUGCCACCCUUACCCUACAUUUAAGAUCAUCAACUAGGGUAUGAUGUGCCCUAUGUUGAAAAAUGCAUAUAGGGAUUGGUGUGCUCUAUACUAGCAUGAUUGUGAAUGCAGUUAAAAUAUGAGCGAAAUGUGGGAAAGAACUUUAAGAAGACUUUCGUUUUUUUUGUGGGUUUUUGUGUUGUAGAGCUGUUUUCAAUCUCCGCAUGAUUAUUUUUGGUUGUACCUGCUUCUUUCAAGGUUGUCUUUGCAUUGUACCUGUUUCGUGUAUCUCAACAAAGAACAAUUUUUAGUUCGGACCAGUGGUUGGUUUUGUGGCCUUGAGUGCUUCAGACUCUUGAUCUCGGCCCAUCUUCUUUUGAUGAUGAUUUCGACUGCGGCCGGUUAUUUUCGGAUUACCAAUUGACUUCCUGGCCCUGGGACACUUUUAGCUUUUCAAACCUUUAUCGUGAUGGUUAGUCGGACGGGACUUAACCUUUUCAAUUUUAUUUUGCCUUUGUGGGCAUUUCAAUUUGAUUUAUUUCUUCCAAAGUUCUCAAUUUCAAAGCAUCUGCCAAUCAUGGCCAGUCGGGGUUGACUUGAUGUCUUUGCCGAGGCUGGGUGCCUUUUGAAUAUAUCAGUUUUCUUCUUCUUCUUUUCUUUUUACAAUAAGGUUCCAAAGAGGGUAAAUAAAGAAAGAUAACCGGCCCAAAGGCUUGGCAAAAGAAUUAAUGGUGUUUUGGGUAGUGAAAAAUAAAAGCCUUCGUUAUCUCAACCAGGGAAUUGUUACACUGAGUAAUGGGUCAAACAUAGUAACUUUUGACGGCAUCCGCAUUGAAUGUUGUCUGGGGGCGAUUUCCUUUGAUGUUUUCCGGGUACAAUUCAUAUCUCCUGAUGCCUUUGACUCGUACAAGUUUAAACUCUUCAUUCAACCUUCAAACUCAUGUGCUGAAAAAUUUCAGUGGCUAGCAAACUCAAGCCCGAUCACUCACAAAUUUAUUAAGUGUUCACAAUCACCAAUAACAUGAAGAUGUUAAUUCUCAAAUUGCUAACACGUAUCAUACUAAGCUAAACACAAAUCAAUCUGUUACAAUUAGAGGCAGAUUUUUGUUUUUACUCAAACACAGAAAUAUUGUCACAAAAACAUACUAGAUUUGACUUUGUGACAUCUUAUCUAAAAGCAUUAAUCGCGCGAAGAGCAAUAAUGGAUCUGGACACACAUAGAUCUAUGAAGAACCAACAUGAUUUCAAUUUGAGGAAUUACAAACUACUUAAGUGUCAGCAACACGAGUCAAGGAAUGCAUUUAAAUUUUAUAACCAAAACAUGCCAUAUCAUCAUAAAACUCAAUACAUUUAGAGAUCUAUAAGAAACACUAAGUUAAAACCUGAACAACGAGAGAGAUUUAGGACCAAAUAAAGGUUAGAAAAUUCGAAGAGGGAGCUCAGCUACGAAACCAUAGAAUCAACAGCGAAUCAACAACAAUUAAUAGAGUUUUUGAGAUGGAAUUACUCCUUUGGAACCCAACAAGUAAGGAAUAAUCAGUCACAGGUGGAAACACUCUUCAAAUCAUUUUGAAAUCCUAAGUUUUCUACUGUUUUUGGAGUCUUUGAUCUCAGAUCUCUUUUUUGAAUUUUUUUGAUUUUAGAAAUUUUUGGUUUUCAGCUGUUUUUGAAUACUGCUGAAUUUUCAGAGUGAAAUGGGUAUGUGUGUGAAUUGUUU
rnacentral:lncRNA from 1 species